GAGUUUGAUUCUGGCUCAGGACGAACGCUGGCGGCGUGCCUAAUACAUGCAAGUCGAACGAACGGAGAAAGAAGCUUGCUUUUUUCAAAGUUAGUGGCGAACGGGUGAGUAACACGUGGGUAACCUGCCCAUCAGAGGGGGAUAACAUUCGGAAACGGAUGCUAAAACCGCAUAGGUUCCUUAGUUGCAUGACUGAGGAAGGAAAAGAGGCGUAAGCUUCUGCUGGUGGAUGGACCCGCGGUGCAUUAGCUAGUUGGUGAGGUAACGGCUCACCAAGGCGAUGAUGCAUAGCCGACCUGAGAGGGUGAUCGGCCACAUUGGGACUGAGACACGGCCCAAACUCCUACGGGAGGCAGCAGUAGGGAAUCUUCCGCAAUGGACGCAAGUCUGACGGAGCAACGCCGCGUGAGUGAAGAAGGUUUUCGGAUCGUAAAACUCUGUUGUUAGAGAAGAAUAAGCAUAAUAGUAACUGAUUAUGCCGUG
rnacentral:rRNA from 1 species